rnacentral:rRNA from 1 species
GACGAACGCUGGCGGCGUGCUUAACACAUGCAAGUCGAACGAUGAACCCGGAGCUUGCUCCGGUGGAUUAGUGGCGAACGGGUGAGUAACACGUGAGUAACCUGCCCUUGACUCUGGGAUAACUGCGGGAAACUGUAGCUAAUACCGGAUACGACCCUCGGCGGCAUCGCCAGAGGGUGGAAAGAAUUUCGGUCAAGGAUGGACUCGCGGCCUAUCAGCUAGUUGGUGAGGUAACGGCUCACCAAGGCGACGACGGGUAGCCGGCCUGAGAGGGUGACCGGCCACACUGGGACUGAGACACGGCCCAGACUCCUACGGGAGGCAGCAGUGGGGAAUAUUGCACAAUGGGCGCAAGCCUGAUGCAGCAACGCCGCGUGAGGGAUGAAGGCCUUCGGGUUGUAAACCUCUUUUAGCAGGGAAGAAGCGAAAGUGACGGUACCUGCAGAGAAAGCACCGGCCAACUCCGUGCCAGCAGCCGCGGUAA